UGCUUUGUGUGUGUGUCCUCAUGUCGCUUUGUGUGUGUUCUCAUGUCUGUCUGUCCUGAUGUCCCUGUGUGUCCUCAGGUCAGUCUUCUCAGCAGAGUUCUGUCCCAGACUACACUGCAGCGUUAGCAGAAUACUACAGACAGCAGCAGCCGUACCUGUGGAACGCCGCCCAGAUACAGCAGAACGACGAAGAACAAUGAUGUCAUUUCCUGUCUCUUCAGGAUCACUAGAGGCCCCUCCCCUCACCAGGUGAAGGCCCUGGACGGUCGUCGACAGCAACCGAAUCGGGGUUUCCUAGCAACGCUCUGCCGCUUCCUCCUUUUGUAGAGAAAAACAAACUUACGGAUUAACUGAAACAAAUCACGAACUCUUUCUUUUCUGUUUUUUUUUAACUUACAAAGUUGAUAUUUUGUCGGGCAGGUUUUCUGGGACUAGCCUCGGGUCUCCACAGACCCUGCUUUCUCUUUUUGUUUUAUUUUUAUCAAACUUGAACUUAAAAGAUGUAUCAGUGUGGCUUUGAACAAAAAAACAUCAGUAUAAUCUAUAUUUUGUCUAGUUUUAUUUUCCAAUAAGAAAUCGGUAUGAGGCUUAGCAGUCUUGAGUAAGAAAAUCAGAUAUUAUUAUUAUUAUUUUUGUUUAUGAUAAUGUUUUAAAAGCAUGCGUCAGAUUGUGUGUGUUGACUCUCAGUUAUUAUAUAUUUUUUUUGGCAUAGAAAUAUUUUUAAUAGCGUCAGAUGGAAAUUUAAUGUUUUACCGUCGGAGACAAAAAACUGUUUUUGUACUAAAUUUGUGGUCGCUGGGUCUGUUUGUUCUCGGUCUAAUUUUACCUGUUCAAGUCGCCAUCUUGGAGGUGCAAUGACGCGUUUAUUGUUUUCUUUUGUUGGUUUGAUGAUAGUUCUUAUUCCUGUAUCUCGAUAGUGAUUCUUUAGUUUUUAUGAUGUGAUGAUGAAUAAAUGAUUUAUAUUGCGUUGUCUAAAGCCAGAUCUCUCUGUGGUCAAACAGUUUGUGUCUCCAGCCGACGCCACGUUUCCUCCACAACUCAAGUUUCAUUACAAAGAAAAGGGGAAAGUUACUUUAAACGUUACUGUUGUAACUUAGUUCUCCGUUUCUACUUUUGCCGAUUUUGUUUUGUAGAAGACGUGUUGGUAGCUGAACAAUGAAGUUAUCGAUUAUAUUAGCGAUGUAUUGCGCUAAAUGUAGCAAGUUCACAAAAAAGAUUUGUGCGUUACCUCCUGUGUGUCAGCGAAACAAAUGUGGUGGUCGAAAUGUUUGUUUGCUGUGUUUUAUUAGCCGACUGUUUAACUGAAACGAUGUCUUGCCUGAACAAUAACUGUUUGUGUUAGCUGUAUAUGCGUUAGCUUAGCGGAGUGAGUUAGCUUUUAGUGAACAUGCGCGUUACCGUUUUUGUUUUUUGGGAGAUAUUGUGAAUUUCUCCUAUUUGAUAAAAAAUAUAUAAUAAUCAGAACUGUCAGCAAACCAGUGAAAAAAUGUCUCCAAAGAAGCUUCACUGGCAUUAACUUCAAAAUACAACCCAACAAACACGAAUAUCAUCCACUCUGCUGCUCUUUACCUGCUAACAAACAAUGUGGAACAAUUAUCAAUAGUGAAUUUAGGCUUAAUAUCCAUUUAUCCUUUAUAACUACACAGCUAGCUAAGGGAGCGACAUCUUUCAGUAAUAUGUUAGCGUUCCAAAAUUAUCCCCGAUUUUCCCGACAUGACGCCAAUGUAGCAUUCAAAUGUUUGUUUGCGUUAGCUGUAUGCGUUAGCUUAACCGUGUGACUUAGCUUUUACUGAACAUGUGUUGCUCGUUUUUUGUAAGUUGAAUUAAAGUGGAGGCCGUUACGGUUUUCUGUGGUGUGUGUCAACAGUUAGCUUAACGUGCGCUAACGUGACGUUGCUACGCUCACGACUUCUAGUGAAUAGUUGGUGAGAAUGGAAACUUUCACGUCAGCCUCCCUGUUGUAAUUUCACGUCAGAUAUUGAUGAAUUUCUCCCAUUUUGAUAAAGAAUCCAGAACUGUCAGCAAACCAGUGAAAAGAAAUGUGUUCAAAGGAGCUUCACUGACAUUAACAUCUGAAUAAAACUCAAACACAAAUAUCAUCCACUCUGCUGCUUAAAAAAAAGCUUAACAUCUAAAUUUAGCUGCUAACAAACUGUCAUAACAAUGUGAAACGAUUCCAAAUACCUAAUUUAGGCUUAAUAUCCAUUUAUCUUUUAGAACCACAUGGCCAGCUAAGGGAGCGACACCUUUCAGUAAUGUGUCAGCGUUACAAAAUUAUCCCUGAUUCUCCCAACAUCCUAAUAUUCGUUAGCUAAACGUGUGUGGUGUGUGUUAGCUGAGCGGUACGUGUGUUAGCUGUAGGUUGUGUGUUAGCUGUAGCUUGUGUGUCUGUUAAGGCCGGAUUAUGUUUCUCGGAACAUUCACGUUCGUCAUUUCAAAUACGUUUUAAACAAACAUGGACGUAUUUGUCACGUCCCAGCAGGAUUUGUGAUCUACCCGU